GGAACAUUGGUGAAAUGGUUAUCAUCCUACCCUGUCACGGUAGAGGCACGAGUUCGAUUCUCGUAUGUUCCG
rnacentral:tRNA from 1 species